UAAAACAAAAAAAAAGUGCUAGGGCCAAACUAACUUUUAUAUAUUCAAAACCUAGUAGUAUGCAUGACUUGGGAUAAAUCAUCCAUAGUGUGGGCCAAUAUGCUUUAAGGCAGCCCCCAUGCUAAGCACUUUCUUUUCAUUAACUUAUUUAAUUCUCACACUCUCUGAGGAAUAAACCGUCCCAAUUUAGAGAUGUGGAGGCAGAGGACAGAGACUAAUUAACUUCCACACGUUUAUAUAGUGGGGAAGUUUAGGUUUACACUCAGGAACAGCCUAGCGUAUUGUGUGUAUAGAGGUUUACAUCAUGUGGGAAAAUGUAUUUCUGUGGCUCUCAAGUAAGAGCCUAUGGGGUGGUCAUGAAAUUAUUAAGAUGCCAAGUAGUUUGUCUUGGCAAGAAUUAUCAAGAUUUGGUGUAUAAACUCAGUCAUCUUCUGCUGGCCCAGAGAUCUGUAAAUAGCAAAUGUGUCUGAAAAAAAUAGGAAAUUAAAACAUUAUUAACUUUCUAUUAUGUAUUUAUUUUAAGUAAACGUAGAACUCAGUCACAAUAAAUAUAAGGUGAGACAGCUACUAUUAUUGUCCAAAUUUU
rnacentral:lncRNA from 1 species